rnacentral:lncRNA from 1 species
CCCGUGGUAUACCCUGGUGAAGACAGCUUGUCUGUUGAAACGUUGAUUAUAUUAUUCCAUCUGAGCUCAUAGAUUGUGCAGCUCUCCUUUUUCAUAAAUUCUGAUAUACCAUGGCUGUAAGCCAAUCAGCACCCAGUUUAUAAUAAUGUAUAGCUUCUGUCUUACAUCACCACGGCAUUAGACCAGGGGCCAAAAGUGUGACACCAAUCAGGCUCCGAGAACUGGAGUUGCCCAUCCCUGCCUUAUACUAGAAUGCAACUACUUACAACAAGCCUACACAGCGGAACACUAAACUAACCUUUCGUGUGCUAAAUGUCUGUCUGUUGCGCGUUGGCUCAAUAACUUAUUUUCAGUCAACGAAAGCAAUACAAUACUUUCAUGUAUAGGACAAACGUAUUAAUGACCAAUAAAGAAACAUUCUUUCUCCGACUAGAAAUACGUGUUAUCGAUCACACUAGGCGAGCAUAUUCUAUUCAGAAGGGAGUGUGUGACUUGUAUGCACACUUAAAUGUCUUGUGCACGCAUGGCUCAGAUUGCCCCACCCAUCUCAUGUGUCUAUAGGCUGGCCAGGCUUCCUAUAUAGCUUGAUACGUGAACAUCGUGCGCUUGUACUCCCUCCCUGGGCACAUUUCAACCAGCUCAACCCCGAGCACAGCUGCCUGCAGGUUCUGAGAAAUGGUGUCGGGUCCAAAACCAGACCAGAUGUUAGUUCUGAUCUGGAUGGGUUUGUCUGUAACGAGACUAGACUACACGGGAUAUGACCAGAUCAGGAAGACUGGGUUUGUUCAUAGUCCUCGCCUCAGGUCUCCAGACCAGACCUGCAUCAACACACCACUGCCCAAAGAAACCAACCCCAGAUCUACUACAGACAUGAUCAUCAGACUGGGCAGGCUGACCCCUGGAUACUUCCGCCUCCUACAGAGACAGGUGGCCGGUGAGGUGCAGACCCAGCCACAGGACCGCGCGGUCAACCAGAUAGCCAUGAUGCUGGCCAUCAUGGGCCUGAGCCUGUCCUACUACAGUGCCAAACGGAUGACCGAGAAGGUCCAGAGGCUCCAGAAGAGAAGAGAUCCCCAUACACCCUGAAGAGACCCCUCCCCCCAGUGCGCCGGUCCUCUUUGAACCUGGAGAGAAGACGAACCAACGCGAAAACGAGGAGAGGAGAGUUGACAGUGUCGGUGUCCAGAACAACACCUUUUCACAACCAAUCAGUCAUAGUCACGUCGUUCAGACACUGGAGUUUUACUGGGAUCACUCUCAAUGCGAGGAGAGUUCGGGGUCUGCUGUUGUUAAGGGUAUCUUAAUUUUUCACCCCAAUGGAUGUUGGGAGGACCUUGUGGGGGAGUGUGUAUGUGGGAAAGGCUGACGGUGGGGUUCGUGUGGUCCUGAUAAAGUUUGGGGGGUAAAAAGUACAACCAUCUGUCUAUGGUCAGGCUGGGCCCGUGCUUCAGUCGUUGCCAAGGUACAUGCGUGCAGGAUGCCGUCAAUACUGUUCUGAGCUAAAAAGGAUAAAGAAAUGCUAAACUAAUUAUUCUAAUGUACUGUGAAUCUCUUGCCAGUGCUCCAAGUAUAUGACAGCUUGUCUAAAAUAACUGAGCGGUAAUUAUUUUUGAGGGAAUGCUUUCUGCAUUUGAGAUGUAUCUAGUAAUGACUGAAGGUGGGCCUGUAGUGUGGCUGAAAGUGGGGAGAAAGGAACCCUCUUAGGUUUUUGUAAUUCCUUUAUUGUUAAAAAAAAUUAAAGUGAGCCAUGUGAACUAGAUGUGGAGGAGUCUCAAACUGGUCAAUAAUUCCACACAUGUUCAAUAUCUGUUAAUGUCAGACACAAACAACCGUACAUUACUGGUGAAAUGCAGUAUUUUAACGUUUUGGGAAGUUGCUUAUCCAAAUCUACGAAGAAAAAAAAGGCACGUAAAUCAGUCUUGAUAAAAAUGGGUGGCUUUCUUUUAAAGAACUCGAUCUGCAAUAGCUACUAGGUGUUACCACAAAUAUUCUAACUUCAGUAAACGUUGCAUGGGUAUGCAGCUUUUAAUAUCUUCGUUAAUACUGUCACGUUUUAGUUUUUUAAAGGACGAUGACCAUGAAUGUAUAUUUCUGUGAUGUUUUAUAGAAAUCGAAUAAAGCUGUGACUUGAAUAAUAAGAACCGUGGCAGUUUAGUAAUGAUUUUAAGGUGUUUGGGAAUUUUGGAAAAACCGACGUGAACAAGCAUUUUAUCACAAUAUUUAUAUUUUGUUAAGGGGAACUUCUUUAAUCUCUAAAUUUUUCUGUGAAACGAUGAUAUUGCCCCACCAUUUCAGCUCAAUAGCUGCUUGGUUGGAUUUGGCAUAAUAGACUCUGUAGCACCACUUCCUGUAUCAUAGGGUGUCUGGUGUCCGCAGGAGCGUGCCGUCUGCACGCAACAGGAAGUGUUCAGGCCUCCAGACAGUCGUUGUCUUCAUCAUAACUGGGGCAUCUGUAUCUGUCUGUAGUCUGUACCAGUUUGCCCUCAGGGAAAGUCGCAGGGCAAAGUUUUAAUCUAUACCGAACAAAAAUAUAAACGCAAUAAUUUCAAUGAUUUUACAGUUCAUAUAAGGAAAUCGGUUUAUUGAAAGAAAAUUGCCCCUAAUCUAUGGAUUUCACAUGACUGGGCAGGGGUGCAGCCAUGAGUGGGCCUGGGAGAGCAUAGGCCCACCCACUUGGGAGACUGGCCCAGCCACUGGCAGCCAGGCCCAGCCACUGGCAGCCAGGCCCAGCCAAUCAGAAUGAGUUUUUCACCACAAAGGGCUUUAAUGCAUACAGAAAUACUCCUCAGUUUCAUCAGCUGUCCGGGUGGCUGGUCUCAGACGAUCCCGCAGGUGAAGAAGCCAGAUGUGGAGGUCCUGGGCUGGCAUUGUUACACGUGGUCUGCGGUUGUGAGAUCGGUUGGAUGUACUGCUAAUUCUCUAAAAUGACGUUGGAGGCGCCUUAUAGUAGAGAAAUUAACAUUAAUUUAUCUGGCAACAGCUCCGGUGGACGUUCUUGCAGUCAGCAUCCCAGUUGCACGCUCCCUCAAAACUUGAGACAUCUGUGGCAUUGUGUUGUGUGACAAAACUGCACAUUUUAGAGUGGCCUUUUAUUGUCCCCAGCACAAGCUGCACCUGCGUAAUGAUCAUGUUUAAUCAGCUUCUUGAUAUGCCACACCUGUCGGGUGGAUGGAUUAUCUUGGCAAAGGAAAUAUGCUCACUAACAGGGAUGUAAACAAAUUUGUCCCCAAAAUUUGAGGUAAAUACGCUUUCUGUGCAUUUGGAAAGUUUCUGGGAUAUUUUAUUUCAGCUCAUGAAACAUGGGACCAACACUUUACAUGCUGUGUUUAUAUUUUUGUUCAGUAUGUUUUGCUUUUACUGUCAGACAGUUUAUUAAUACAGAAAAUCAGUCAAAUCUGAAUUGUUACUGUAUGUUCUCCAAUGGCACUCAUUUUAGAACGUGUACAGAUUAUAAAUCCUGAGGGUUGGAGGAAGACUCAUGCACUGGUUAAACAUCAGCGCCAUUCUGAGGCCCUCCCUUGUCUGUUCCAUGUUCUCUACAGAAUGUUCUCUUCUAUAGCUGGGUAGACUGUAUAGAAGCUAUGCAUCUGAGGUACUUCUAGCAUGACCAUGUUAGGGAGGGUGAGAGGAUAGAGUAGUGGUGACUGGUGAGGACUUCAGAUAAGAGGGACGGGGGUUGAAAGCUGUUUGUGUAUGGCUUGUUGAUUCACCAGUCCAGUUCUUUAUACAGGUUAUUUUGAAGAAUGCUGAAGUCUUGUCAGUACUAAAUAAGAAAAUUGUUGGAAUGGCACACUCGUGAGUUGGUACAAUGGAUCUAAGGAAUAGUUUAUUUCCUCAUUGUCUUCCUUUAGAGUUUAGGAAGAUGAGUAUAAAGGAGAUAGAUAUUGAGCUCUGAAAAAAUAUAUAAGUUAUAAGAAUGUUUUCAUGAUCGAAGGAUCAUUGCUUGCUUUUAAGUGAUGUUUGUCAGAACUAGGAUAAAGUAUGUCUAGUGUUAGAAUGUUCAAUGUUGAGUGGUAUGGAAUUUGUGUUCAAAUAGUUAUAUGAAUAGGUUUAACCUGUCGCAUAAUAGAGAAGUCUGAAUUGUACUUGUUUUGGUUGGCUUUUGGAAACCAGUCUGAUAGAUUAGCCCCAAGCCACCAAUAGCAAUAAUGAAACUGUUAGCACUUUUAGCAGUAGACAUAAUAUUGUCGAUUUCCCUCCGAAUUAUCUUCAGUCAGGCGGAUAGCUUGAUCAACUGGGGAUCACACCAAAAUCGCUUUGUUUAUUCAUCGCGAGCCCAGAG